rnacentral:lncRNA from 1 species
CAUCCAGUGUCAUUUUGGUGAUCGUCCUGCGAAGGCUGUGGAGCCGGUGGUGGUGGAGGGUACACUUCAUUGAAGUAUCCCUGAUAGCCAGGUGGUGGUGGUGGAGGAAAUGGCUGCCCCACUGGCGGCUGUGGGGGUGGAAAGUCUGGCUGUGGAGGAUAUGGUGACGGUGGCUGCCCUGAAUUGUGACAUCAGAGAAAUUGCUUAAUCAAAUUUUAAAAAUAUAUAUACAUACAUCCAUACAAAUACCAAACACGUGAACAUAAAAUUGCAGAAGCAAACUGAAUCCUUUAGUGACUUGCCUG